rnacentral:rRNA from 1 species
AUUGAACGCUGGCGGCAUGCUUUACACAUGCAAGUCGAACGGCAGCGCGGGCUUCGGCCUGGCGGCGAGUGGCGAACGGGUGAGUAAUGCAUCGGAACGUGCCCAGUAGUGGGGGAUAGCCCGGCGAAAGCCGGAUUAAUACCGCAUACGACCUGAGGGUGAAAGCGGGGGACCGAAAGGCCUCGCGCUAUUGGAGCGGCCGAUGUCGGAUUAGCUAGUUGGUGAGGUAAAGGCUUACCAAGGCGACGAUCCGUAGCUGGUCUGAGAGGACGACCAGCCACACUGGGACUGAGACACGGCCCAGACUCCUACGGGAGGCAGCAGUGGGGAAUUUUGGACAACGGGGGCAACCCUGAUCCAGCCAUGCCGCGUGCGGGAAGAAGGCCUUCGGGUUGUAAACCGCUUUUGUUCGGGAAGAAAUCCUCUGGGCUAAUACCCCGGGGGGAUGACGGUACCGGAAGAAUAAGCACCGGCUAACUACGUG